rnacentral:lncRNA from 1 species
CCUCAAUGGCCCUAUCCACUAGGUUCACACAUGUCCCGAGCUCAAUGCCGCUUGAUGACAUUAGCUCUCUAGUUCACAUACCUUCUAAAGGGCAAUCUUGUCAACUUUCAUGUCUCAAUAAACUUAGGUUUAAAUGCAUGAAUCCAAUCUCAUUUACACUAUAGGAGCAUGAAACCACGUCUCAUAUAGAAUGCUAAAUGCAACUAUAGGCCUACCAAGCUACUCUCUACUACAUAGAGGUCCAAAAUUUCAUCAUAUAUAACAUAGGCCUUUUAAGCAUUCUAAAAUUCACAAUAAAUACAUAUAACAAGAAUAUGCAUGCUUUUUCAUUUAACGAUACUUAAUUAAGCACAAAUGAGAAUUUCUCAUUGUGUGGCUAGGUCAAACCCACCGAACCGUCGCGUGCUCCUUCGAUUCGCCGAACGGAGUUGUCCACGAGUCUCAAAGUACCCUAAAAGUGAUCAGCGAAGAGAUACGAGGGCAUUACGACCAA